GGGCGAGUGCCGGAAUUAGCAGACGGGCAGGUCUCAAAAACCUGUGGGAGUUAAUCCCGUGUGGGUGCAAGUCCCACCUCGCCCACCU
rnacentral:tRNA from 2 species